GUGAACACUCAGAUCAUAACAAACCUUUAAUUCCAUCUUCAAAAUCCCCUCAGAGGAAUACCUAGAUUGGUGUUUGAUGAAAUGACCAGGGCUCAGGAAUCAAGUGGUAGCAUUUUUAGAAUUCUGCCCACAAACAUGGCCAGAACUGAGCAGCAGGACUAGAACCUGGGUCUUCCACUAGGAGAGAGAGACCUCACUCCUGGUGCCAGCAAUGUACUUUCAGCCACUCCCACCUGCAAAGUGAGUCCCCAGGCAGAGGUAUAAGGAAAGUAAACAUUCCCUUUAGUGAUUCAUCAAUUUUUUUUAAGUUGGUUUUUUUUUUGGUAGACCAUUUUAAAAGUCUUUACUGGAUUUAUUACACUAUGGUUUCUGCUUUAUGUUCUGGCUUUUUGACUACACGGCAUGUGGGAUCUUAGCUUCCUGAUCAGGGAUUGAACCUGCAGCCCCUGCAAUGGAAGGUGAAGUCUUAACCACUGGGCCGCCAGGGAAGUGCCCCUACUAUUCUUUAAUUUGGCCCAAGCAGCUGGGAACCACAGUAGUGGUCACCCUGGGAGCUUCUGUGGUAUAAGAGCUUGGCAGAGGCAGGGUCAUCAGGGCUUCCACAGGCAGGAGGGCCUGGCGCACAGCAAGCUGGCAGCAACAGCUUUUAGACUUUGGGGUAAGGAGGGGAAGGUUCAAGGUAAUGAGGACAGAGGGAUGACGGUUUAAACACAUCUUCCUGAGCCCUGAGGGUCUCUUUGGUAGGAAAAUAUACCCACCAGCCAUGCCCCUUGAAGAAGAGGCCCCUGACUGUGAGACAGGGUGGGACCUGGGAGCCUUAGCUGCAGUGUUUACACCUGGGAAAACUUUUCCUCCAACAACAAAAUACAAAGAAACUAUAAGGGACUAAAAAUAACUGUGCAUGUAGUUAUAAACAAGAAGAUACAAAAACCCAACUGCCAAGUCUGAAGAGCCAGGGAGCAAAAGCAGGCUGAUUUGCACCCCACUCCAGUACUCUUGCCUGGAAAAUCCCAUGGAUGGAGGAGCCUGGUAGGCUGCAGUCCAUGAGGUCACUAAGAGUUGGACAUGACCAAGCUACUUCACUUUCACUUUUCACUUUCAUGCACUGGAGAAGGAAAUGGCAACCCACUUGCCUGGAGAAUCCCAGGGAUGGGGGAGCCUGAUGGGCUGCCGUCUAUGGGGUCGCACAGAGUCGGACACGACUGAAGCAACUUAGCAGCAGCAGCAGCAGCAUACUUACCUGAAGGGCUUUCCAGGUGGCGCAGUGGUAAGAAUCCACCUGCAAUGCAGGAGACAUGGGAGACCUGGGUUCGAUCUGGCCUGAGAAGAUCCUGUGGAGAAGGGAAUGGCAACCCACUCCAGUCUUCUUGCCUGGAAAAUCCCAUGGACAGAGGAACCCAGCAGGCUAUAGUCCAUGGCGUUGCAAAGACUUGGACAGACUGAGCACAUGCUUACCUGGCUGGAGAAAUACCAUGAUCUCAAAAAUGGUUUUCCCAGGAUGAGGUUUAUCCAUUGCACUUCAGAUGUGCUGAUCCCUGCAAUUUCCCCAAAUGUAGGAAAUUUUACUGCAAAUUGUAGUAGUAGGGGAGGGGCAUUUGUGCUUUUCUCUAAAAACAUGAAAUAUAAGAAAAGCCUGGGGAGGUGGGUGAAGGGUUUUUGUGUCAAUAAUCGGGAAAGAUCUAGUCGACUUGAUCUGUGACAGAGAUGCUCGACAGAAGGUGUCUCCUGUCCUCCGUUGUCCUUCAAAGACCUUCUGAAGGAUUAAAUGACUAUGAUCCAGGGAGAGUCCAUUCCAGGCUCUUGCGUGGCCAUGUGCCAAAGCCAAGGCUGGUUGCACAAUCCAAGCUUAGAACUAUUCACACCAGUAAAAAGCUGAGCAGCUUCACUGACAGCCCGGGGCUGUUCACGAUCUUGGGUCCUCUCAGGAGGAGGUCAAGGACUUCUUAAGUGACUCAGAAGGAAAGCAGCUGCUCUUUGACCUCUGCAGAGCAAAGUUCAUGAAUAUGCUGUUCCAGCUGCUGAGAAUUGUUCUGAGUAACUUUUUUCCUGAUUAAAAAAAGAAUGUAUGCUUAUUCCAGCAUUGCUUAUCCAACAAUCCAACAUGUCCCAAAACAGUAGAUGGGAUAGAUAUUUUAUUUAUAUGAUGGAAUACUGUAUGGCAGGCAAUGAAACUGAAAGAAUUGUGCCUUCAGUGAGAACAUAGAUGAAUCUCACAAAAAUAAAUAGAGCAAAAGAAAAAAACAAGAGACAAAAUGACACAAAUGAACUUAUUUACAAAACAGAAAUAGACUCACAGACAUAGAAAACAAAUUUAUGGUUACC
ensembl:lncRNA